rnacentral:rRNA from 1 species
CCUACGGGAGGCAGCAGUGGGGAAUAUUGGGCAAUGGAGGAAACUCUGACCCAGCGACGCCGCGUGCGGGAUGAAGGCCUUCGGGUUGUAAACCGCUUUCAGUAGGGAAGAAGCGAAAGUGACGGUACCUACAGAAGAAGCACCGGCUAACUAUGUGCCAGCAGCCGCGGUAAUACAUAGGGUGCAAGCGUUGUCCGGAAUUAUUGGGCGUAAAGAGCUCGUAGGUGGUUCGUCACGUCGGAUGUGAAAAUCUGGGGCUCAACCCCAGACCUGCAUUCGAUACGGGCGAUCUAGAGUGUGGUAGGGGAGACCGGAAUUCCUGGUGCAGCGGUGGAAUGCGCAGAUAUCAGGAGGAACACCAAUGGCGAAGGCAGGUCUCUGGGCCAUUACUGACACUGAGGAGCGAAAGCGUGGGGAGCGAACAGGAUUAGAUACCCUGGUAGUCCACGCCGUAAACGGUGGGCACUAGUUGUGGGAACCUUCCACGGUUUCUGCGACGCNGCUACGCAUAGUACGCCCGCCGUCGGGAGGUACGAGUCGCGAGAAGUUAAACGUAACUAAAUAGUAAGUUAGUUACGGUCGUUGAGACGUUGCCGACGGACGACGACGAGGGAGGAGG